CCUACGGGAGGCAGCAGUGGGGAAUAUUGGACAAUGGGCGCAAGCCUGAUCCAGCAAUGCCGCGUGUGUGAAGAAGGCCUUCGGGUUGUAAAGCACUUUAGGCAGGGAAGAAAAAAUCGGCGAUAACAUCGCCGAUCUUGACGGUACCUGAGGAAUAAGCACCGGCUAACUCUGUGCCAGCAGCCGCGGUAAUACAGAGGGUGCAAGCGUUAAUCGGAUUUACUGGGCGUAAAGCGUGUGUAGGUGGUUAGAAAAGUCGAUUGUGAAAUCCCUGGGCUCAACCCGGGAACUGCUUUCGAGACUGUUUGACUAGAAUUCGGUAGAGGGAGGCGGAACUCCAGGUGUAGCGGUGAAAUGCGUAGAUAUCUGGAAGAACACCAAUGGCGAAGGCAACCUCCUGGGCCUGAAUUGACACUGAGACACGAAAGCGUGGGGAUCAAACAGGAUUAGAUACCCUGGUAGUCCCACGACCGUAACGAUAGAGACUAGUACGUACGGUUGUCUCUGCGAGUACGGUGUCGUAGCGUACGACGAGUAAGUUACGUCCGUCCGUCGGGUAGGUACGGCCGGCCGACGGUUAGUAACGUUAAACGUAGUAAGUUAGUACGGCGUGAGACGUAGCCGACGGACGACGACGAGGGAGGAGG
rnacentral:rRNA from 1 species